rnacentral:tRNA from 1 species
GGGUCGGUAGCUCAAUUGGUAGAGCAGAUGCCUCUUAAGCAUCGGGUUCUGGGUUCGAGUCCCAGCCGUCCCA